rnacentral:rRNA from 1 species
AUGUGCCAGGUCUUCUUCCUCAACCCCGACCCCGUGGAAUCGGUCAAUAGUUUUCAAAAUCAAGAUUUCAGCGAUGCUACCUCGUUUGCAGAGAUUAAUUCUCCGAUGCUUCUCAUUGAUGAUGCGAGUACACCGAAAAAGAAACAAGCUUGCUCUCAAGAGGGUUCUUUGUAUAAACCCCAGUGUGACGAGGAAUUGAAGCCAAAAGUGGGUAUGCUAUUUGAUGACAUUGGCUCGGUAAUGGAAUUUUAUAGGAUGUAUGCACACCAUGUCGGAUUUGGUGUACGUCUUGGGCAGCAAAAGAUCGUAGAUAAUGUGCUUCAAUGGAAGCGCUUCUUGUGUGCAAAAGAAGGUUUUCGGCCCGAGAAAGGUAUGGUUGUUGUUGAUCCUUCAAAGAAAAGGAGAAAGGUGAAAUUGACUAGAUGUGGAUGUCAAGCUUUUAUCUAUGUCACUCGGGAAAGUGAUGGAAAAUAUAGGAUAGCUUCACUCACUGAAUAUCACAAUCACCCUUUUGUGCCACCUAGCCACCAACACUUGAUCAGGUCUAAUCGUCAAAUUAGUGAGAGGGUGAAGACAACACUCCAUGAUUGCCAGAAAGCUAGCAUCGGAACUUCCUUAGCAUAUAGGUUUCUUCAUUUUGGCGCAGGGGUUUUUGAGCAUGUUGGUUGCACCCAGAAGGACCUACAGAAUCAAUAUGGUGUAUUGAAAAAUAAAAUAAAAAAUUGUGACGCUCAAAUGCUAGUGGACCAAUUUGGUAGAUUGAAGGCUCUCAAUCCUGCUUUUUUCUUUGACUAUGAAGUUGAUGAGGUUGGUACAUUAGUCCGUAUGUUCUGGGCGGAUGCAACAAGUAGGAAAAACUAUGGUCACUUCAAUGACGUGGUAUCUUUUGAUUCAACAUACAACACUAACCAAUAUGAAUACAUAUUUGCGCCAUUCACUGGAGUAAACCAUCAUAUGCAAAGUGUAUUUUUUGGGGCUGGGUUUCUACUUCAUGAGACAGCAGACUCCUAUAUUUGGUUGUUCAGGGCGUUUCUUAGAGCAAUGAGUGGUAUUGCGCCAAGAUUGAUCAUAACUGACGAAUGUAGUAAGAUGAGGAAUGCAAUUAAACAAACUCUGCCGAACACCGCACAUCGAUUGUGUAUGUGGCACAUUAUGGAGAAGGUUCCUGGGAAGGUACGUCCUGAAUUGAGAAAUGACCUUGUAUUCUAUGAUAGGCAAAAACAUUGUGUGUGGAAUUCUGAAACCCCUGCUGAAUUUGAGGAGAGAUGGGAGUCUUUCAUCAUAGAGUUUAAGUUGGAGGACCAUGUGUGGUUCGCAAAGAAGUAUGAACUUCGUGCGGCAUGGAUACCGGCUUACUUUAUGGAAAUUCCCUUAACUGGUCUCCUCAGGACAACUUCUAUUUCAGAGAGCGCAAACUCGUUUUUCAAGCGUUUCAUCUGUCGCAAGCUUACCUUUGUUGAGUUUUGGCUAAGGUUUGACACUACUUUGAAAUGUCAGAGGCAGAAUGAGUUAAUUGUUGAUAAUACAAGUGGAUACACAACAAGUGAGUUGGUGACACCAUGGGAAAUAGACAGACAGGGCAGGGCGGUAUUCACCCAUGAGAUUUUUGAAUUAUUUCAGGCUCAGGUGCUUGCUGCCAGAGAUGAUUGUGAUGUUCAGAACACAGAAAUUUGUGAGGGGAUUAAAAUCAUGUUUGUGAGUGAUCAAUACAAGAAGAUUAGAGAAGUGUCUUAUGACACAACAUCCAUGACUGCUAAAUGUUCUUGCAAGAUUUUUGAGUCCACUGGAAUUGUGUGCCGCCAUAUUAUCCGAGUGUUGAGGGGUGCGAAAAUAAAUGAAUUGCCAAGACUUUAUGUUCUUAAGCGGUGGGAGAGAAAUUGCAAAAGGGACAUUCUCUUCGAUGGGGAAGGAAACAUGCUUGAAGAGAAUUUAAUUGACCCAGUUGACAUUGCUAUGAAAAGGAAGGUAGCUCUCGUCAGGAACAAGCUAGAAGAUCUCAUGCGGAAUUCCAAAUGUUCAAUGGAAGGAAUUGAAUUCUUUCACACUAGUUUGUGCAAUGCCGAGUUGGAUUUAGCCCAGCUCGUACCGGCUGUAGCAUGCAACACACAUCAAAAUGAGGAAUCAUUUAUUGGGAGCAUCAUUCCAAAGCACGUUACCAUCCACACACCUACUGAUAUCAAUGCAAGGGGCACUUGCUCUAGAAUAAAGGGACACAGGGAUGGUGUGAGGAGUGGGUCGAGCGAGAAGAAAAGAAGACCUGGAAUUCAUCAAAAAGUCGCACGCAAAUGCGGCAUUUGUAAGGAACUGGUGUUCCAUGAUGCAAGGACAUGCUCUAAGAAACAAAUGACACAAUAG